rnacentral:rRNA from 1 species
UUUGACGUUACCUACAGAAGAAGCACCGGCUAACUCCGUGCCAGCAGCCGCGGUAAUACGGAGGGUGCGAGCGUUAAUCGGAAUUACUGGGCGUAAAGCGCAUGCAGGCGGCCUCGUUAAGUCAGAUGUGAAAGACCCGGGGCGUUAACCUUCGGAAUUGCAUUUGUAAACUAGGCAGGCUAGAGUCUUGUAGAGGGGGGUAGGAAGUUUCAGGUGUAGCGGUGAAAUAGCGUAGAGAUCUGAAGGAAUACCAGUGGCGAAGGCGGCCCCCUCGGACAAAGACUGACGCUCAGAUGCGAAAGCGUGGGGAGCAAACAGGAUUAGAUACCCUGGUAG